AAAUGAAUAGACGGGGACCCGCACAAGCGGUGGAGCAUGUGGUUUAAUUCGAAGCAACGCGAAGAACCUUACCAAGUCUUGACAUCCUGGUGACAGCAUAUGUAACGUAUGUUCCCUUCGGGGCACCAGAGACAGGUGGUGCAUGGUUGUCGUCAGCUCGUGUCGUGAGAUGUUGGGUUAAGUCCCGCAACGAGCGCAACCCUUAUCUUUAGUAGCCAGCAGUAAGAUGGGAACUCUAGAGAGACUGCCGGGGAUAACCCGGAGGAAGGUGGGGAUGACGUCAAAUCAUCAUGCCCCUUAUGAUUUGGGCUACACACGUGCUACAAUGGCGUGAACAGAGGGAAGCGAAGGGGUGACCUGGAGCAAAUCCCAAAAAACGCGUCUCAGUUCGGAUUGUAGUCUGCAACUCGACUACAUGAAGCUGGAAUCGCUAGUAAUCGCGAAUCAGAAUGUCGCGGUGAAUACGUUCCCGGGUCUUGUACACACCGCCCGU
rnacentral:rRNA from 1 species